UCCUACGGGAGGCAGCAGUGGGGAAUAUUGCACAAUGGGGGAAACCCUGAUGCAGCCAUGCCGCGUGUGUGAAGAAGGCCUUCGGGUUGUAAAGCACUUUCAGUUGUGAGGAAAAGUUAGUAGUUAAUACCUGCUAGCCGUGACGUUAACAACAGAAGAAGCACCGGCUAACUCCGUGCCAGCAGCCGCGGUAAUACGGAGGGUGCGAGCGUUAAUCGGAAUUACUGGGCGUAAAGCGCACGCAGGCGGUUUGUUAAGCUAGAUGUGAAAGCCCCGGGCUCAACCUGGGAUGGUCAUUUAGAACUGGCAGACUAGAGUCUUGGAGAGGGGAGUGGAAUUCCAGGUGUAGCGGUGAAAUGCGUAGAUAUCUGGAGGAACAUCAGUGGCGAAGGCGACUCCCUGGCCAAAGACUGACGCUCAUGUGCGAAAGUGUGGGUAGCGAACAGGAUUAGAUACCCUGGUAGUCCACACCGUAAACGCUGUCUACUAGCUGUUUGUGAUUUUAAAUCGUGAGUAGCGAAGCUAACGCGCUAAGUAG
rnacentral:rRNA from 1 species